rnacentral:tRNA from 1 species
GCCCAGAUGGUGGAAUUGGUAGACACGUGGGUCUCAAAAACCCAUGAGCUUACGCUUGUGCGGGUUCGAUUCCCGCUCUGGGCACCA